rnacentral:ncRNA from 1 species
GAAAUGCGGAGUAAAGCUUGCCGUGAGAAGUCAGCAGAGGCCAUAGUACCGGAAACAAAGCCGGGAAGGGC